AACGAACGCUGGCGGCAGGCUUAACACAUGCAAGUCGAGCGCCCCGCACGGGGAGCGGCAGACGGGUGAGUAACGCGUGGGAACGUACCCUUUGCUACGGAAUAGCUCCGGGAAACUGGAAUUAAUACCGUAUGUGCCCUACGGGGGAAAGAUUUAUCGGCAAAGGAUCGGCCCGCGCUGGAUUAGCUAGUUGGUGGGGUAAUGGCCUUCGAAGGCGACGAUCCAUAGCUGAUCUGAGAGGAUGAUCAGCCACAUUGGGACUGAGACACGGCCACAGCCACUACGUGGGGCAGCAGAGGGGACUAGUAGACCAUGGGCGCAAGCCUGAUCCAGCCAUUCCGCUUGAGUGAUGAAGGCCGUAGGGUUGUAAAUCUCUUCCACCGGAGAAGAUAAGGACAGUAUCCGGAGAAUAAGCCUCGGCUAACUUCGUGCCAGCCGCCGCCGUAACAC
rnacentral:rRNA from 1 species